AGAGAUGCGGCUCAGUGGUAGAGCAUCUGCUUUGCAUGCAGAAGCUUCCAUGUUCAAUCCCCAGCACCUCCA